AAAAACCUUACUACCCUUGACAUGGUCGGAAUCCUGAAGAGAUUUAGGAGUGCUCGAAAGAGAACCGACACACAGGUGCUGCAUGGCUGUCGUCAGCUCGUGUCGUGAGAUGUUGGGUUAAGUCCCGCAACGAGCGCAACCCUUGUCAUUAGUUGCUACGAAAGGGCACUCUAAUGAGACUGCCGGUGACAAACCGGAGGAAGGUGGGGAUGACGUCAAGUCCUCAUGGCCCUUAUGGGUAGGGCUUCACACGUCAUACAAUGGUACAUACAGAGGGCUGCCAACCCGCGAGGGGGAGCUAAUCCCAGAAAGUGUAUCGUAGUCCGGAUUGUAGUCUGCAACUCGACUACAUGAAGUUGGAAUCGCUAGUAAUCGCGGAUCAGCAUGUCGCGGUGAAUACGUUCCCGGGUCUUGUACACACCGCCCGUCACACCAUGGGAGCGGGUUUUACCAGAAGUGGGUAGCCUAACCGCAAGGAGGGCGCUUACCACGGUAGGAUUCGUGACUGGGGUGAAGUCGUAACAAGGUAAGCGUAGUGCU
rnacentral:rRNA from 1 species